GAUGAACGCUGGCGGCGUGCCUAAUACAUGCAAGUAGAACGCUGAAGGAGGAGCUUGCUCUUCUGGAUGAGUUGCGAACGGGUGAGUAACGCGUAGGUAACCUGCCUGGUAGCGGGGGAUAACUAUUGGAAACGAUAGCUAAUACCGCAUGACAACAGUUAUUGCAUGAUAACUGUUUAAAGGGGCAACUGCUCCACUACCAGAUGGACCUGCGUUGUAUUAGCUAGUUGGUGAGGUAACGGCUCACCAAGGCGACGAUACAUAGCCGACCUGAGAGGGUGAUCGGCCACACUGGGACUGAGACACGGCCCAGACUCCUACGGGAGGCAGCAGUAGGGAAUCUUCGGCAAUGGACGGAAGUCUGACCGAGCAACGCCGCGUGAGUGAAGAAGGUUUUCGGAUCGUAAAGCUCUGUUGUAAGAGAAGAACGAGUGUGAGAGUGGAAAGUUCACACUGUGACGGUAUCUUACCAGAAAGGGACGGCUAACUACGUG
rnacentral:rRNA from 1 species